GGGUAACCUGCCUGUAAGACUGGGAUAACUCCGGGAAACCGGGGCUAAUACCGGAUGGUUGUUUGAACCGCAUGGUUCAAACAUAAAAGGUGGCUUCGGCUACCACUUACAGAUGGACCCGCGGCGCAUUAGCUAGUUGGUGAGGUAAUGGCUCACCAAGGCGACGAUGCGUAGCCGACCUGAGAGGGUGAUCGGCCACACUGGGACUGAGACACGGCUCAGACUCCUACGGGAGGCAGCAGUAGGGAAUCUUCCGCAAUGGACGAAAGUCUGACGGAGCAACGCCGCGUGAGUGAUGAAGGUUUUCGGAUCGUAAAACUCUGUUGUUAGGGAAGAACAAGUACCGUUCGAAUAGGGCGGCACCUUGACGGUACCUAACCAGAAAGCCACGGCUAACUACGUGC
rnacentral:rRNA from 1 species